GUCCCUGUAGCGCAAUGAAAAGCGCGUUGAACUUCUACUCCAUAAGUCGUGGGUUUUAAUCGCACCUGGGAUG